UAUUUUUAUAUUUAUUUACAGUAUGGGAAAGAUUUUGAAAGUAUUCAGUCAUAUAUUGCACAGAGAAGUAGGAAAAAAGGAGUUUCACCCAAUAUGAUUAAGAAUAAAGAUCAAGUGCGCCAUUUUUAUUACAGAACAUGGCAUAAAAUAUCUAAAUAUUUGGAUAUAGGCGAUGAUGUAAAAAAACAAACUCAAGAAUUAUAUGGUCUUAUUAAUUACGCUGAGUUAAGGAAAAAAAUUGGUGGUUGUCUGAGUGAAAAAAAUAGACAGCAAUUAAAUGAGCUUGUUUUUAAUGGGUAAGUUAUAUUUUUUCCAAUUUGAUUUUUAAGAAUAAUUCAUUUCAAAUAUAUAUGCAUUAUUAGUAAAACAAAAUUUAUUAAUUGGUUUAUUAAAUUUUAAUAUUAAAAUGAUAAUGAAUAUAAAAGCCACUUAAUCCGACUCAGCCUCUUAUGCAAAAUAUUAGAUACAUCCAACACACCUUAUUGCUGAGAAACAUAUAUUUAUUACAUAAAACUAACGUUUUCGGCUCAAUUUAUGGGCCAUCUUCAGGUUUACUGUUGUUCGAUUCUAAUACACAACCGAACACGUUCAAAAUUAAACCAAAUUAGAACAUGCGUUUAAAUUUAACCAAUAGAAUAAGCAUAACCAAACUAAAACAAUAAAUAAAAUACCAAACUAACAGAAAAAUGAAAAAUGAAAAAU